rnacentral:rRNA from 1 species
CUACGGGCUGCUGCAGUGAGGAAUAUUGCACAAUGGGGAGAACCCUGACGCAGCAACGCCGCGUGGAGGAUGACGCAUUUCGGUGUGUAAACUCCUUUUAUAUGUCAAGAAAAUGACGGUAGCAUAUGAAUAAGCACCGGCUAACUCCGUGCCAGCAGCCGCGGUAAUACGGAGGGUGCAAGCGUUACUCGGAAUCACUGGGCGUAAAGGACGCGUAGGCGGGUUGGAAAGUCAGGUGUGAAAUCCUACAGCUUAACUGUAGAACUGCACUUGAAACUUCUAAUCUAGAGUAUGGGAGGGGGAGAUGGAAUUAGUGGUGUAGGGGUAAUAUCCGUAGAUAUCACUAGGAAUACCUAAAGCGAAGGCGAUCUCCUGGAACAUUACUGACGCUAAGGCGUGAAAGCGUGGGGAGCAAACAGGAUUAGAUACCCGAGUAGUC